AAAGUACUCCCUCCGUUCCAAAAUUCUUGUCUUAGGUUUGUCUAGAUACGAAUGUAUCAAGUCACAUUUUAGUAUUAGAUACAUCCGUAUCUAGACAAAUCUAAGACAAGAAAUUUGGGACAGAGGGAGUAGUUG
rnacentral:pre_miRNA from 1 species